rnacentral:tRNA from 1 species
GGGCGAUUAGCUCAGUUGGUAGAGCAGCUUGUUUACACCGAGAAGGUCGGGGGUUCGAAUCCCUCAUCGCCCA